UACGGAGGGUGCGAGCGUUAUUCGGAAUCACUGGGCGUAAAGCGCGCGUAGGCGGUCUGUCACGUCGGCUGUGAAAUCCCCGGGCUUAACCUGGGAAUUGCAUUUCAAACUGGCCGACUAGAGUACGGUAGAGGGAGGUAGAAUUUCCGGUGUAGCGGUGAAAUGCGUAGAGAUCGGGAGGAACACCAGUGGCGAAGGCGGCUACCUGGACCAGCACUGACGCUGAGGCACGAAAGCGUGGGGAGCAAACAGG
rnacentral:rRNA from 1 species